rnacentral:tRNA from 1 species
UAGGAUAUCGCCAAAUAGGCAAGGCUUUCGUUUUUGAUACGAACAAUUAAAGGUUCAAAUCCUUUUUUCCUAA